rnacentral:rRNA from 1 species
UACAGAGGUCUCAAGCGUUGUUCGGAUUCAUUGGGCGUAAAGGGUGCGUAGGUGGCGGGGUAAGUCAGGUGUGAAAUCUCGAGGCUCAACCUCGAAACUGCACUUGAUACUGCCUUGCUAGAGUACUGGAGAGGAGAUUGGAAUUUACGGUGUAGCGGUGAAAUGCGUAGAUAUCGUAAGGAAGACCAGUGGCGAAGGCGGGUCUCUGGACAGUUCCUGACGCUGAGGCACGAAGGCCAGGGGAGCAAACGGG